rnacentral:rRNA from 1 species
UACGUAGGGCGCAAGCGUUGUCCGGAAUUAUUGGGCGUAAAGAGCUCGUAGGUGGCUUGUCGCGUCGGGUGUGAAAGCUUGGGGCUUAACUCCAGGUCUGCAUUCGAUACGGGCUGGCUAGAGGUAGGUAGGGGAGAACGGAAUUCCUGGUGUAGCGGUGAAAUGCGCAGAUAUCAGGAGGAACACCGGUGGCGAAGGCGGUUCUCUGGGCCUUACCUGACGCUGAGACGCGAAAGCGUGGGGAGCGAACAGG